UCCUACGGGACGCAGCAGUGAGGAAUAUUGGUCAAUGGGCGGGAGCCUGAACCAGCCAAGUCGCGUGAGGGAAGACGGUCCUAUGGAUUGUAAACCUCUUUAGGCGGGGAGCAAUGCCGGGCACGUGUGCCCGGAGGGAGAGUACCCGCAGAAUAAGCAUCGGCUAACUCCGUACCAGCAGCCGCGGUAAUACGGAGGAUGCGAGCGUUAUCCGGAUUUAUUGGGUUUAAAGGGUGCGUAGGCGGAUUUUUAAGUCAGCGGUAAAAUGUCCGGGCUCAACCCCGCCCAGCCGUCGGAACUGCCGG
rnacentral:rRNA from 1 species